CCUCCGGAUGCGGGAAAAGCGCCAUUCCCGGCUUUUUGUGGCCAGGGAAGCGAGCGGCUGGGAAGGGCGGGGGUGGGCGAGGGAGGCUCUGGCGAGGAGCUCUGGGGCUUCCUGUUUCCUCCGGCAGAAUUUGAAAGCAGCGGCUGCCGUGAGCUGGACCAAUGAUCGGGGCACAGCGCGCCCGCGCCCGUUAAGGGAUGCCCGGGGCUGCGCUUCCCGGCUCCAGGCGGGAAAAACCGGGAACAGCCGCCCGCAGCACCGGGAAACGACAGGGCCCUGCCUGGCAUCCAGCCCUUCCCAUCUCCGUCUGCGCCGGGCGUGACCCCAGGAGAGGCCGAGCAUCCCAGGAGCUGCCAGAAAAGGCAGAAAAGGAGCUGGAAAAGAGUCAGGAAUGCCAGGCCAUUUGGGAGAAGUGGAGCAGGUGGAGAUGAUGUGGAAAAGGCAGGAUCACAGCAGCCUGACCCUGGUUUUGCAGCAAAGCCAACAGCAGGGAGCAGAAGUUGCAGGAGCUGUUUGGGAGCUGAAGAGGAUGGAUAAGGACCCAGCAUUCCAUCACCAACACUCCUGGCUGCUCUUCCCACAGGGAAUGCAGCAGGAUCCACAAGCAGGGACACGCAGCCACAGGCUCUGAGCUCCUCUUGCCUCACCCCCUGGGCUGGGCUGCCCUGGGACUGGGACUGGGCUUUUUUCUGUGCAUCCAUCUGGGUUGCAACACCCCAAGGUGAGCGAGUUCACAGGCUUGAAAAACUCUUUCAAAACAGUCUUAGCAAGAGAAAGAAGUUCUGAGGCCCAGUCUCUUCUUUGCAGUGGCCAAGAUUUGGGAGCUGGGCUGGGAAUCCCAUGGAAUACUUCCCUAAAAGUGGUGGUGCAUCCCCCAAAACCCCCAAACUUUGUCACCAUCAGCUCCAGGCCCAAUCCAACACCUGUGCACACCCUAAAGCUUCCAGCCCCCAUUUCAAGGUUAUUCUGCCUUGAUUUCAAGGUUGUUUUGAACUGAUUUCAGGGUUAUUUUUGAAGUGAUUUGAGGGUUAUUUUGAAGUGAUUUAAAGGUUAUUUGCCAUUGACUCGGGGCCGCCGCCGCUGAUUUGCCUGGUCCAGGCCCCCCCCGCCCGCGCAGCCUCUUCUCAUCUGAGUGAACCAAAGGCUCACCGCAGAGAGAGAGUUUCCAGAAAUGAUUCAGCCCUUCCCUCUGAGAGAAGUGGAGAGUGCAGAGGGGAAAGUCAGAGUUACCCUGCGU